GCAGAAUGUCUGAAAGCUCCCUAUGGUACAGAACUGCUGGAUGAGACCAUCAGUGGGAUCCCUCACCUGCAGGCCAUGAGGACCGUUUUAUGGGCUCUAAACUGCUCACGGCUCACAACAAUGACAACAUCAGUCAAGAUGUCUCGACUCCGGAGACGAUUAAGGUUGAGAAGAACAUCACUGGCAUGGCGGGUGAACUGGAUACAGCUGUCAGCCGGCGAGGCCAUUUUGUCUUCACUUGAAAAAAGAGGCCAAAAUCCUGUUAGUCCUCCAGAACCUGUUUCCUGCUUGCCACGGGUAUCAGAGCAGGUGGCUCAACCUGCUAAGGGAUCCUCAAACACUUCUGGAAUACCUAGGCUGUUCUUUA
rnacentral:lncRNA from 1 species